UAUAUAGUGGGUGUUUGGGCUCAGUUUUUAAAAAAUAAUUUUGAAUACAAAAGUAAUUUUUGGUUUAAUAGAGUGUUUGACAAUCUCAUUUUUAAAAUCUGAUUCUAAUUUUCACAAUCAGUUUUCUGCUUUUCAAGGCCCAAAAUAAAAAAAAACAACUAGAAUCUGUUUCUUUAAACCUGAUUCUGAUUUUGGACUUAAAUUUUAAGCUUUAAACUUCAAUUUAGAUUUUAAAUUUCAAAUUGUAAAUUUAAACUGAGAUUUUAAAAUUUAAAUUUUGAAUUUUGAAUUUAAAUUUUUAAAUUUUAAAUUUUAAAUUUAUAUUUAAAUUAAAUUAUCAAAUUAUAAAACUUAAAAUUUAAAAUUUAAAUUAUUUUAAAAUAAAUUUUAGUAAAAAAAUUGAUUAUUUGCAAAGAGUAAAAAAAAUUUGCCGAACAGCUUUAUAAAAUCAUUUCAGAAAAAUCGCUUGUUAUCUAAACUUACUCAAACGUUCUAUAAUUUUUAAUCAAAAUUAAUUCUUCAAAACAAAAUUAAUUAUACAAAAAUUAUCUCUUCAGAAUCUAGAUCAAACACGCCCAUACUCCAAACUAAUUUUAU
rnacentral:lncRNA from 1 species